CCUCACUCAAGAUCAAGAGAAAGAUAUCACUGACACUUACUCAUAGUCUGUCCAUUGUUAUUUUGUGUAUUUUCCAGCGGUUUUUUCCAAGGUGACCAGGGAGGCAAGAUGAACCUCGCCAAAGUGCCAAACGAUAAGAAAUUGAACCUCUGCCGGAAAUAUUAUAUGGCUGGAUUUGCCCUUCUGCCGUUCAUGUGGGCUGUCAACGCACUGUGGUUCAUGCGCGAGGCCUUCUGGGUGCCGCCCUACCCUGAGCAGAAGCAGAUCAGACGAUAUGUGGUGGUAUCCGGUGUGGGUGCGGUGGUGUGGCUGGUGGGGCUGGUGACCUGGGUGGUGGUAUUCCAGCAGCACAGAGCAGAAUGGGGUGCCACAGCUGACUACCUCUCCUUCUUCAUACCAAAGGGAAUACCAUAGAGAGAAAGAGAGAGAGAGAGUAUGGGUUCAUAUUGUGUGAUGCUUUAAGAUUAGCUGUUUGGGUGUUUGUGAGAGAGAGAGAGAGAGAGAGAGAGAGAGAGAGAGAGAGAGAGAGUAGCUGAAUCUGAAGCUUAUCAUUACUUUUUUUUUUAUUAUUAUUACUAUUAUUAUCAUUAUUAUUAUUAUCAUCAUCAUUACUAUUAUAUUUUCUUAAUGUAAAGAAUGACUCCAAUCAAAGUGUACCUACAGCAGGCGUGGGCAAACUUUUAAAAAAAUCACAAUCUAAAAAGGCCGCAUACUGUCAACCCAACAUCAUUAAUAUCUGAAAUACAAAAUCAAAGGCUUCUAAAGAAAACGCCAUUAUCACACACAUGAAGGAAAUGAAAUGCUCACAAUACUAUUUGGCAUUUAUUAACUUGACACACUCUUAAAUCCUUUUUGUCCCAUGUUUAGGGGGUGGCCGGCAUGACCUGACCUCCUCUCUUGUUGUAUACACUGUUACAACAAUAAAGUUAUCAAUCAAUCAA